UACGUAGGGUGCGAGCGUUAAUCGGAAUUACUGGGCGUAAAGCGUGCGCAGGCGGUGAUGUAAGACAGUUGUGAAAUCCCCGGGCUCAACCUGGGAACUGCAUCUGUGACUGCAUCGCUGGAGUGCGGCAGAGGGGGAUGGAAUUCCGCGUGUAGCAGUGAAAUGCGUAGAUAUGCGGAGGAACACCGAUGGCGAAGGCAAUCCCCUGGGCCUGCACUGACGCUCAUGCAUGAAAGCUAGGGGAGCAAACGGG
rnacentral:rRNA from 1 species